CAGGAGUCCAACAAAAGCCUUUACAUAAAUCACAGCUGAUACAAUGGCUCUUGGCUGAAGGGGAGAGGGGCUUAGAGUCUCAGCGCUGCUGAAAGAAGGUUUGUGUCUGGGGGAGGAAUUGUCAGAGCAGUCCCUGGGGAAGAGACGAGGCCUGAUGUCUGAACAGAGGGUGAGCCCGUCAUCCUGCUGGGGACGACAGAGGCCAUGGAAGGGAAUGAGAGUGAAAAUCUGGAGGCAGACUCCAGAUGUGACAUCUCCAUGGGGCGGGAUGGUCCAGAUAUCUGGGGCCUGUGCAGGUCACGCUCCAUCACAGUCCACAGUCCACAGUCCACAGUCUAUCCUGGCAGGGCAGUCCCUCCUAGGAGGGCAUGCUGUCUUGCAGAGGUGCCAGGCAAGGGCAGUCCUCACCCAGUGAGUCACGGACAUUAAGGGCUCUGGGCUCCAACAGAGGGGAGGUCUGAGUGGGCUGAGCUGCUCCCAGAAGGCUUCUGAAAGGCAAAUGUGCUAGGCAGGGAAGGCUGUUUUCUGACAGGCAGAGGGGAGACUAGGACUCUGUGGGGUGGAGUGGUGUGGCUGCAUCAGCUCAGGUUCCUUGAGAACGUGUCCACAAAACUGGAAUUCCAUGGUGGCCCUGUUGAGGAGCCCCGUCCCUGAGGAAUGACAGAGACCUCUUCAGGGAGCAGCAAAUUCCAGAAAAGCAGGGAAAUUGUUAAGUGGUGGAGCCAAGAUUUGUACGCGGGUCACCUGGUUCCUGAGCCUCUUCUCUCAACUGCUGUACUGCUCAGCCUCUGAUGACAGACAGAAAGAACAUGAGGCCUCAGGGAGUUCUGAAGGUGAGAGAGCACUUGAGCCCGAUAACUUCCGGUUCAAGAAAUCCGGAUGUACCACAACACACUUUCUGAGGCAGAACGUAAAAGGUAGAGCCACGUUUGGUAUCCGAGGUAUCCUAACAUCUUAACAGUCUCUUUGCUGGAAAGAAAUCUUCAGUGGCUCCCAUUACCUACGGAUCCAGCCUGGCUUUUUAGUCCAGCAUUCAAGACCUGUCAAGCUCUUCUGCAUCCUCUCGUAUGCAUGUGAUAGACAGGCACUCCACCUAGCGAAGUACAACCAUCCCAAACUUAUUCCUAUUACUUUUCUUCCAUUCAUUCGUUCAUACAAUCAAUCAGUCAUCAUUGAGGAUUUAUUAGACGAUAGGUUCUGGAGACAAAAAGGUAGAUAAAUACGACGCAGUCUUUGCUUUUGAGGACUGUAUCCCAGAUACAUCUGACUGGUUGUUCCUGCUGAAACAUUUUUCCACCUCCAUGCUUUUGCAUACACUACUUUCUCCACCUGGAAGACCCUCUCUGCAUUUCUGAACAUGCACUUUUAUUAACUGUCCACAGCUGCAGUGAGGCCUUCUUCAUGAAGCCUCUCCCAGUUCUCCGCCUCACCCCACCAAGCUGGAACUGAUCGCAGCCUCCAAACUCCCACAGCAAUCCUUUGCCUCCUCUUCUGACGCUACUCUUUCUCUCUUGGAUGAAAGCCGUGUGUAUCCAUGUUGGUUCUCCACUUCUAGAACCUGUCGUUUUGGGGCUGCAGGACUUGGUGGAUUCACACUGGCAUCCCCUCAGGAAGCAGGAAUCAUGUUUACAAAGCAUUCCCUUGGCAAGAGGCUGUCUAUAGGAUCCAGAUGGUCUGACCCCAAGUCAGAUGUCCUUUAUAACCUUGCUUUUAUGGUCCUCUGACCAGCAGCAUUAACAUCACCCUCACCUGGGAGCUCAUUAGGAAUGCAGAAUCUCGGGCCUCAUCCCUGAUCCACUGAAUUGGAAUCUGCAUCUUAACAAGAUCCUCAGGCAAUCUGUAAGCAUAUGCAUGGUUGAGAAGCACUGCUGUACAACACUUUGUAACAAUCUCUCUUGUCCAAGAGCGGGGACGAAGCUAGCUGUGAAAGCUAACACAGGUCUCAGGUGUUCUUCUUCCUGCAAGUGAGGGUUGGACAGCCCAAGCCAUGCUUCGCCUGGGCCCUGAGGAGGCCUCACCCCCCACUCCCCAUGGCAGCAACAUUCUCCUUGAGCCUUCCUUGGUGGUCCGAUGUCAGCAUCUUGCCAAUCCAGGCGAAGGCAUCAUGCCACACUGACAGAUGGCCCAAAGUAGGACAGACAGAAGAAAUGUAUGUUUAUCAAAUUUGGGUUGAAAAGACCACGUUCCCCCAGCAUAGGCUGUCAAACAGCUGUCAUUCAGGAGCAUAUGGCCCAGCGGUGAGAGGGCACAGACACAGCUAAUCCCACUCUUAGAGAGAUUAGCUCUGACGAGUGAAGAAAGUUGCGGCUGUCGCCAGGGUGCUGCCUGGGAGGAGAGGGUGGAGGGUCUGCAUUGUGGUUCAUUUCCCGAAUCACCUUCCCUGUGAUCGAGGCUCCUGUCUGCCAAAAAGAAGCCAGAAUGAAAUGA
rnacentral:lncRNA from 10 species